GUAGGUGAACCUGCGGAAGGAUCAUUACAGUGUUAUCACAACAUCGGCGCGGGAGGGGGUUUAAGAUGCUGGCCCGAAAGAGGGCAUUUCGUGACUCGCCCCCUUCCGUUUCCGUUGCUUGCGUAUUAUACGUCCACACCCGUGAACCUUAAUGGGAGGGUUCGCCCUCCCUUUUUUUUUAAAAACCAAAGCCUGUUGAAACGCAUGUCUUUAGCCCCACGGGGCGAGUAAAAAGUUUAAUACAACUUUCAACAACGGAUCUCUUGGCUUUC
rnacentral:misc_RNA from 1 species